CUCUGAAGCAUGCCCGGUUACAAUGUGGAAUUCUGCAGGGCACGUGUCCCUCUUGGACUCCUUCCAAAGGAGUAAGUUAUCAGAAGGACCUCAUUAUACCAUGGGCCCCAGGGACAGUGUUCACUGGCCCACUCUGGGGCAGCCGGUAAAAUUCUGGUGCUAGUUGGUUCAUCACUUGUUCAUACAGUCGAGCCUCAGUUACAGAAGCAACAGCCCAGCUUGUGGCUGGCCCAGGUCUCAUUCCUUUGCUGCCCAGUUACCUUCUAGCUUGCUCACGGGGCACCUCGGAGUGCCUGACAAGAUGAGCCUCUUGCUUGAAAUGCCUGAUCCAGAGGAUUUGCUCGUGAUCUGUUGCUUUCUGGUACCUGCACCCCUGUUUCGUGCCACGCUCUUGGCUCCCUGAAGUUGCUCACAGGCGCGAGGAUUCUGCCGAUGGACUCAGCUCUCCCACAGAGGUCAGACACGCAAGGCAAUGUCACAGCAGUGAAAGAGAGAGCCCAGCUGGCCAGCCUCAGGGGGUAAAAGGCCUUCAGAAUCCGCCUUGAGGCCCUCACUGGCUUUAGAUUGGAAGCCAUCUUGGCCCCAUCCACCAGCAUCAGCGAUUUACUGAUGGCCUGAAAAGCACUGAACUCAAACGAGAAAGAUGAGCACAAGGCAGGAAUUUGGACUCCAGAAGAAGGGCGAAGCACGGAUUAUUUUUCUAUGGUAUCUGACGAGAGCAAACUGAAGUUAAGAAUUUUCCUUUUGUUCUUCUGGCAUUGUUUACCUUCUUUUUAUUAUUCCGAACAGCGCUUAGAGCUCUGGCCGUGUUUCUGUCCUAAAAUCUUACUGUCAGGAGUUUAUUUUUCAGCUGUUUCAAAUCAUAUCUGAUAGAGUGCGUGCUUUGCCUGGACGCAUCGCCGUACCUCCGAAGAAAUAAAGUUCACCCUUUUAAAUGACAAUUCUGAUUGCCUACAGCUUUAAGUGUUCUACACUUAAGCUGCAGGCUUCGUUUAAAAAUCUGUUUUCCCUCAUCAAAAAGGAGCUUUGGUGGAACUUCUCACUCUGCCGGCGUCUGGGUAAUGACCUAACACGUUAUUUUGGACUAUCGCUGCGUUAUGUCAGGUUUUCACUGCAUGUAGAGUAAUUCUUUGUCAGUGGUUGUUUUGAGGGGACGGGGUUUUUUUUUUUUUUAUACUUGCACUUGAAAUUUAAAAAAUAUACACGCCUUUAACAUUUGCAAAGUUUAGUUCAGUUCUCUCGAAAAAGAAACCUAAUUUGCCGUAAUUCCUCUCCCUCUGUCGGGGCACGUGUGGGAGAGCUUCGUAGAGCUUCCACACUGCCCUUCUGGAACGUGGACAGAAUAUCAGCACAGAAAAAUGAUCCCUUCAGCCUUGUGAUGAUGUGUGAAAAGCUCAGAUUAAUUUAGCAGGCAUUUUCUUGACACCUGUGGAAAGUCAGUGCGUGCGAGGGUGCAGCCUAAGGGUGACGAGGCCACCCUCCAGAGCAAGGCUGCCUGCCUAGGUGUAAUGGAUUGAAUGGGGGCCCUGAAAGAUUUGUGGACCUCCUUCCUUCCUGGAAACUGUGAAUGGGACCUUAUUUGAAAGAAAAAGGGUCUGUGCAGGUCUCUGAGGUGACAGCAUCCUGGAUUUACCAGGCUGAGUCCUACAUCCAGUGACAGGUGUCCUUGUAAGAGACACAACGGAAAACACAGACACAGGAGAGGAGAAGGCCACAUAAAGACCCAGGAGGACUUUGGAACAAUGCAGCCACAAGCCAAGGAACGCCUGAAACAUUCGAAGCUGGAAAAGGCAAAGGCAAGGAAAAGAGUCUGUGUUAGAGCCUUCGGGCAAGUGCGGUCCCGCUAAUACCUUCACUGUGGACGUCUGACCCCAGAACCAUGAGAGAAUAAAGGAUUUCUGUUGUCUUAAGCCACUCAGUUUGUGCUAAUUUGUUACAGCAGCCCUCGGAAAUGCAUACAUCACUUACCAGCUGAGUGACCUUGGAGAAGUUAUUUAACCUCCACAAAUCAGUUCCUUCGAAGGAAAACUCUAGUGCCGGGUCUGUCGUGAGGAUAAAACGCUUUCACUUAGGUGACUGACUUAGCACAGGGCCAUACCUGGCAUGCUCUGGACGAGUGCUCGUUCUAGCCUGGCAGCAGGCAGCUGCCACAGAGCUGAGGCUUCAAUCCAGUAAGUGCUGGCUGAAAGAAUCACAAUCUCAGAAAUAGAAAACUUCAGAAGAAGCUGGGUCAGCUGAUCUCAGUGCCUGGGCGACAUCUCCCAGAGAAUAGGAAAGAGGAGCGGGGUUCCCUGCAAGAGCCAUUCUUUAAAUGCCUCUAAAUCUGAGCGGUUUGGGAGAAGUGUGGCUUCUGGAGGUUAUAUGCUGAGACUUUACGUGGACGCAUAUUGCAGCCCGUGUAUGUGAUUCCUCCGCACUCCACGGGUUUGACCGUCCUGCCUCGGUAGCUGUAAGGACUCCAGCCCAGGGGCGAGGAAUUUUCACCCCUCUGCCCGGAGCCGGGAACCUCGGUGGGUCUGCACGGAGGGGAUCUGUUCAAGUGCUUGGGGCGGGGGGGGUGGAUUGGUGCCUAAGAAUCUGCAUUUCCUGUCUCACUUCCUAUUCUCAGGAUCACAGUUUUAUUUUGCUAUGAAUCUGGUGUCUUAGUCCGUCCAGGCUGCUGUAACAAAAGAUCACCAGCGGGGUAGCUUACAGACCACAGAAAUUUGCUUCUCACAGUUCUGGAGGGUGGGAGGUCCAAGAGCAGGGUGCUGGCAGAUUUGUGCCUGCUGACAGUCCCUUUCCCAGACGCCUGCCUUUUUACGGUUGACCUCACCUAGCAGAAGGACCGAGCUAGCUUUCCGAGCCUCUUUUCACUAAUCCCAGUCAUGAGGGCUUCACCUGCAGGUCUAAUCGCCUCCCACAGGCCCCACCUCCCAAUACUAUCACCUGGGAGGAUAGUAUUCAACAUAUGAAUCUGGGGGAGACGCAAACAUUCAGACCACAGCACCCGGGAAGGCAUGAUUCUAAAAUGAGCGUGUCUUCUAAGAAGAAAUCAUAGAUAUAAAACCCCACGUCAGGGAAGCCUGGGAAGAACAAAUGAACAUUUGAACAACAUUCCCAUUUUACAGACGAGGAAAGUGACUCUCAGCCAGGCACAACAGUUGACCUCAGUGAACACAGGCUCUGGCGGCAGACCCUGCUCGAUAUCAGACCCCCGGCUCUAGGGAUGUUUGUUCUAGUAAGCGGACCUGGGUGGGAGAGUCUAGAGGGACCAGAGCAAACAUUAGGACUUGGAUAUUUAUGACCGCUAGCCCUGUGGCUUAGUCUGAUCCUUGCCCAAACCCAGAUUUGGUUCUGUUAUGGAGUGGGCCAACUCUCAGCUCUUCCAGCAUCUUCUGACUUUCUAGGGUCUCUAGAACACAGCCUGGGUCUGCGUAAGUAAGCGUGUGAAAUUCAGCCCUGGGCUUUGUAUCUCUGACCAUGUUUUCUAAAAGCAACAACAACAAUCAUUCCUGCUCAGGAUAAUUGGGGGAGAUUAGAGUAUCCAUGCCUAUCACAGCACCUGAUGUACAAUGGGUGGGAGAUGCACAUUAGCAAUUGUUAUUUUUAUUUCUACUGGUACCUCUACUCACUAUGGUUUGCUUUGAACAAACUCCGCACUAUAAAGUGAAGGUCAUGGGGCGCCUGGGUGGCUCAGUCGGUUGAGCGUCCGACUUCAGCUCAGGUCAUGAUCUCACAGUUCGUGAGUUCGAGCCCCAUGUCGGGCUUUGUGCUGACAGCUCAGGGCCUGGAGCCUGCUUCCGAUUCUGUGUCUCCCUCCCCUGCUCACACUCUGUCUCUCUCCCAAAAUAAAUAAAGAUUAAAAAAAAAAUUUAAAGUGAAGUUCAUAAAAAUGGUCUACCAGAAUAGAAGUUAUGAGCAAUGAACUGAACUGAAACCAGACUGCCUGGGUUCAAGUCCCAGUUCUGUCCUUACAAGCUGUAUAACCGUAGAUCCAUUAUUUGAUUUUCCUGUGCCUCAGUUUCUUCAUCCAUAAAGGAAAAAAAGCAGGAUAACAACAGUAUAUGCCUUACAGAGUUGUGAGGAUUAACUGAAUGAAUACGUGCGAAGCCCUUAAAAGAGUGCCUGGCACAUAGUAUGUGCUCAAUCAAGUGUUUAUUGUAUGACUUUUACUUAUCCCACAGGACAGUGGUGAGAAUCAAAUGGGAUACAUAUUUAGGCUACAGUAUAUUCAGCUAUUAAUUGUCACUAUCAUCAUCAUCAUCAAAUGAUUGAACCUCUCCCCUGCCAUGGUCUGCCCUUGUAUUUGUUUAACAGUUAAUGCUUCCUGAAAUGCAAUACUGAUGCAUUUGGGGAAAGCAGUGUGCAAAGCCUAUCUACUUAGAACAAUACUGGACUGGAAGCUAGGUUUUCAGGAAUUUUCUCAGGCCUCUUCCACCCUGCCUCUGGUGAAUCAUUUAAGUGACACCAGUGCUCUGGAAGGACACGUCUAUGUAGGACCCUAAGUGGAAUUGUUGUGUGGUUCCCCAGGGUUUCCUAUUUAUUGGAAACGGGCUUAAUGCACUGAGUUUGAGACCCAGCCUUUUAGAACUUUUUAGCAGCUUUUUCAGAACAGUGUCUGGGUCUUAUUUGUCCCAAAUUUUCAUCACCUGACCCAGCCCUGGAGACCAAUAACAGUUUAACUUUUUAAAAAAUAAAUAUGUGAAUAAGGGCAUGCAAAUAGCAGCUGAUUGAUGGGUCAGAUGAUUCUAUGAUCUUUCCCCAACUGGAAACUCUGUCACGUGAACCUAGGUUAUUUGUAAAGGGAGAUCUGGAAGGGGCUCAGUGGAAGGUUCCAGAACUCCAGAGAUCGACAGUCUCAAUUGUAUACUAUUCAAAUUGCACUUCCUCAUUUACGUCUUUCUGCCUCAUUGACCCAGGUGGCCUCCAGCACCACUCCUAUGGUUUGGAGUUAUGAGGAGUUAGUAUCCCUCUUACAGAUGGAGUAAGAAGACAUGAUGAAGGGAAAGAGACCUGAAAUUGAGAGCUGACUUCAUGAAGAGCUAAGAGGACGCUCGUGUUGCAUAUGAGUUAGAGAAAUCUCCAGAAAGAGAAGUGGGCUGAAUUAUAAGCUAUAAAAGUCAGGGGGGGAGUUGGUGCCUAUAGGAACCUUGUCUGAUCAGUCGACUCAGUGAUACAACUAAAUUGACUGACGCUAUAGGAUGUUGGAGCUCUCCAUUCUGGCAACCUUAAAGUUCCUUUCAUCUGUUUAGCUUGAUCCCAGGGAACAAGGGAGAACCUGGCGGCAAAGGGGCACGGAUGACUAAGUCUACUUCCCUCAUGGAGAGAGACAUGGGGCUUUGGGCGAUUUCUUUGAAGUUCCUCUAGAGGCUUCUAAAGAUUGUUAGUGGCAUCUGGUCUUUAAUCCUGGACAUCAAGCUUGUUGAUUUUUACCCUGGACCAUCUGUUUCUCGGCUUUCCGUGGAACCUUUCCUUUGUGACAAGUAGGGGAAGAAUACUGUAUUUUUAUUUCUUUCUGUUUUGCCUUCUAUCUCAGUCACAGAAUUAGAGAGGGAGAAUUUAUUUGCCUGAUGAGCCUCUGAAAGAUUAGACACAACGUGCUGACCUUGCUAUCUGCAGGGUGUUUCCCACAGGAUGGAUGCCUUUGUCCUUCACUCUAUGAUAGGAAGUCAGGGACCCUGAGUGCAGCUUUGUGACCAUUUAAUGUCUGUGCCCAGAACGCUGUUUGUACUACUAACAGUCAUCAUAGUGGUGAGGGGAGUCACUACCUGGAUUCCAGCUGAGCUCAUUUUCUAAGCAAGUGCCUGGACAAGGUAUCUAACCUCUCAGCUCCUAGCCUAUUAAGUGAGAGAAGGAUAGCACAUGCUUCACUGAGGCACUGUGAAGGUUAAACGAGAUAAUACGUGUCAAGCACUUCACUCAGUGUCUGCCAUUUAGCGAACUCCCAUGAAUAUUAGUUAUCAUCGUUAUUUAGUAUAAUAAUAGUAUUUCUAACAAAAAAGUGGGAACAAGCUUUGCACUGGCCAGAGAACUUGCAGCAAGAAGGAUGGUAGGUAGUCAAACAGGCCUUUUCUUGAGUUUAUCACACUCCAAAGAAUUCAGUGUUGUCAAAUAUGAGAUAUGAAGCUCCGGAAUGGACUUUUCCAAACUGAUGAAUUCCAUAGGGAGGUUUUCUCCAUUGCCGUUCAUAUGGUUGUGCUCUCAGGUUUCAGUCACCAUGGUGGUUCCGAAGCAGCCACAAACUGGGCUAAACCAACUGGGCUAAACACUGGGUAAACCAAGUGUCACCCUGAUCCAAGCUUCUCUAAUUUUACAAACCCUAGUGGUAGGUGGUACAACUGAGGCAGACUUCCCUGGAAAAUGCUUGCUGGGCAUUGUAGAGAUGUCCACUUCCAGGGGGCUGCAGAUACCUUUCUGGCCAUCAGAAUGAAGGCUGUGCUAAUGGAGCUACUCUUCUGGACAAAAUGGCAGCUCUCUCAUUGAAAGACGUUAGGAGACUGAUCUUUUUUUUUUUUUUUUUUCCUUUGCAACCACUAUUUAUUGCAUGAGAUUUCAGAAGAUGAUGAUAAAAGGCAAGUUUAUAGAGACACCAUGAGAUUGUAUAAAUAAAAUGAAGUCAUAUCUGGGAAAGAUAUACCAAAGAAAAUUGAACCCCAAAUGUCUAAUUUGCAACUGCAAAUGUCUGUUUGCUGUUCAUACUCAGCCAAGAGUUCCAUUGAAUUAAAGCACAGACUACAUAACUAUGUACACAGAAUGCCUUUAAAGUUCUUCCCUAAAUUUAGGGAAAAGCAAAAGUCUGUUUAGAGCUACCAAAGCAAAAUUCCUCACUGUGGAUUUAUAGGCACUA
rnacentral:lncRNA from 1 species